rnacentral:rRNA from 1 species
AUUGAACGCUGGCGGCAUGCUUUACACAUGCAAGUCGAACGGUAACAGGCCGCAAGGUGCUGACGAGUGGCGAACGGGUGAGUAAUGCAUCGGAACGUGCCCAGUCGUGGGGGAUAACUACUCGAAAGAGUAGCUAAUACCGCAUACGAUCUAUGGAUGAAAGCGGGGAACCGUAAGGCCUCGCGCGAUUGGAGCGGCCGAUGUCAGAUUAGGUAGUUGGUGGGGUAAAGGCUCACCAAGCCAACGAUCUGUAGCUGGUCUGAGAGGACGACCAGCCACACUGGGACUGAGACACGGCCCAGACUCCUACGGGAGGCAGCAGUGGGGAAUUUUGGACAAUGGGCGCAAGCCUGAUCCAGCAAUGCCGCGUGCAGGAAGAAGGCCUUCGGGUUGUAAACUGCUUUUGUACGGAACGAAACGGCUCUGGUUAAUACCCGGGGCUAAUGACGGUACCGUAAGAAUAAGCACCGGCUAACUACGU